UAGGGCGCUUUGUGCCAACCUUAACGCCGUAGUGGGACUCAUACCAUGCCCGGAAGGGAGCAGCAUCCACUUGAACAAUUGCGUUCUUUACCAGGGUCUUGGUGCGGAG
rnacentral:SRP_RNA from 1 species